AAAAAGAUGUUUAUGAAUUUGAAUAUUUAAAUAGUUAUUGAUUAUUUGCUAUUUUCUGGUGUAGUAGCUAAGAAAUAUAAUUGAAAUAAAAGUUUGUGUUUAACCGAAAGAUACAUUUUUGAUUUCUAACUCUUUGUUCACAUUUGACAUAACAGACUGUUUUUCCAAGAAUACUUGUAGAGAUGGGUAUUGCAAGAUCAUUUUUGUAUACGUGCCUAUUCAAGCACAAGGAAAUGCAUACACUUCUAAAAACAAACCACAAAGGUUCUUCAUUUUGAUGCCAUAGAUCAGGUGUCUCCCACCCUGCUCCUAGUGAGCUACCGUCCUGCAGACUUCUAACCCAGACCCAACACACCUGAGCUGAGGUAUUUGCAGAUAUGUUUGUAAAGAGGACUUUGCGACCCACGACUGCCAUAACCAAAAUCUGCCAGAAUAAAGAUGAUUUUGGGGGAGAAAGACAAAGACAUUUUUUUAAUGAGUAAUUGAACAUUUUGUACUGCAAAUAUUGUACACCAUUCCUGAUGUAAAUUAAAUAAUAUAUAUUAAAUAUAUUUGAAAUGAACUGUUUGAUUCUGUUUUAACCAACUUUUAUUUAUUCAACGAUGUUACCAAUUGAAAAAAAUGUAUUGCACU